GUCUGACACCUCCCCUGUUUGUUAUCUUGUAACAGUGAUGUGCUCUCAUCCACAGGAGCUGACCUGAAAGGAACAGAAGGCUGGUACUAGAGUCUCUCUAAAUGUGUUUAACAUGAUCCUCAUGGUUUUCAUAUUUUGUUUCCUUCAUCUGCCAGAGAAUAAGGGUGCCUCUGACACCAAACGUGUCGACCAGACACCUCCUUACAUCAUUAAGAGAGCUGGUGAAUCUGUUGACAGUGAGAUCAACUGUGCACACAGCAUAAAAAGUUAUGAUCGAAUUCUCUGGUACAAACAAGAUGAACACAAAGCUUUCAAGUACUUGGGAUAUCUAAAUCUGAACAACCCAUUCCCUGAGAAUGAUGUGAAAGGAAAAAUCAGCUUUGAUGGAGAUGGCAGCAAACAGUCAGACCUCACUAUUUCCAAUCUUUCAUCAAAUGACAGUGGUGUGUAUUUCUGUGCUGCCAGUUAGCACAGUGCUGCAGAUUCCACUCAAGUCAAGA